rnacentral:misc_RNA from 1 species
UCCGGUUUGUCACCGGCAGUCUCAUUAGAGUGCCCAACUGAAUGUAGCAACUAAUGACAAGGGUUGCGCUCGUUGCGGGACUUAAGGCAACACCUCACGGCACGAGCUGACGACAGCCAUGCACCACCUGUGCAGGCUCCGAAGAGCGCCCGCUUUCACGGGUUUCACCCUGCAUGUCAAGCCCAGGUAAGGUUCUUCGCGUCGCAUCGAAUUAAGCAACAUGCUCCGCCGCUUGUGCGGGGCCCCGUCAAUUCCUUUGAGUUUUAGCCUUGCGGCCGUACUUCCCAGGCGGGGUGCUUAAUGCGUUUGCUACGGCACCACAGGGGUCAAUACCCGCAACAUCUAGCACCCAUCGUUUACGGCGUGGACUAC